rnacentral:rRNA from 4 species
AGUUCCAACCCUCGUACGGUGAAACCGCGAAUGGCUCAUUAAAUCAGUCGAGGUUCCUUAGAUGAUCCAAAUCCUACUUGGAUAACUGUGGUAAUUCUAGAGCUAAUACAUGCGGACAAGCUCCGACCCUCGCGGGGAAGAGCGCUUUUAUUAGUUCAAAACCAGUCGGGGUUUCGGCUCCGUCCUUUGGUGACUCUGGAUAACUUUGUGCCGAUCGCAUGGCCUCGAGCCGGCGACGCAUCUUUCAAAUGUCUGCCCUAUCAAAUGACGAUGGUACGUGACAGGCCUACCAUGUUUACUACGGGUAGCGGGGAAUCAGGGUUCGAUUCCGGAGAGGGAGCAU